GGGUAGAACUGGGCUGCUGUGAAGCCAGGAGUCAGCAGCUUCUUCUGGGUUUUCCACACAGGUGCAAGGGCCCAAGGAUUUGGGCCAUCUUCUACUGUUUUCCUAGGCCUUCAUCAGGGAGCAUCCAGGCUUCGAACAGGCACAACUAUGGGAUGCUGGUGCAUCAAGUAGGAGGCUUAACCCACUUUGUGCUGGCCUCCAUAAUUUCUUUAUCUAAUCGUCAUUUGAUAGACAUCUGGGUUGAUUCCAUAUCUUAGCUGUUGUGAAUUGAGCAGCCAUAAACAUGUGGGUACAGAUAACUCUUUCAUCUGCUGAUUUCAAUUUGUUUAGGUAAAUUCCCAUGAGUGGCAUUUCUGGUUCAUAUGAUUCAUCUAUUUUCAGCCUUUUGAGGUGUCUCCAUACUGUCUUCCACAAUGGCUUCACCAGAUUACAUUCCCAAUGGAUUAGGAAUAGGUUACCUACCUAGAGCACACUUGAGAUCAACACAGGCCCGCUAUUCUAGCCUGGAGACAAGACAGCUGUCACCCACGUUUUUACGCUGCCUGUACGCUUCUGGUGCUGCUGUGCUUGCUGGGAGGGAGAGGAGGGUCCUAGAUGGCUGGCGCUUGCGCAGUCGGCCUGGUGGAGAGCAAGAAGAUGUAUCCGGCGGUGGCGGCAUGUUGUCGGCUGCAGGAGUUGUCGGCUGAUGGCGGCGUUUUCGGCAGAGGUACAGGCCCGGAGAGUGCAGGAGUGAAGACAUCUUCAUGGAUAUGAAACUGGACGCAGAGUUGACACUGAAGUUCAGCUGCUGAGUCAUCUUGCAUUUCUAGAGACUGCUCGAUUUCCUGCUAAACACACUUGGGGCUUCUUCCUGGAGAGGAGCAACUGGUGAGCAGACGU